UACGGAGGGUGCAAGCGUUAUCCGGAUUCAUUGGGUUUAAAGGGAGCGUAGGUGGCCUGCUAAGUCAGUGGUGAAAUCUCUGGGCUUAACCCAGAAAUUGCCAUUGAUACUGGUGGGCUUGAGUGCAGUUGCUGUUGGCGGAAUAUGACAUGUAGUGGUGAAAUACAUAGAGAUGACACAGAACACCGAUUGCGAAGGCAGCCCACUACGCAACUAUUGACGCUGAGGCACGAAAGCGUGGGGAUCAAACAGG
rnacentral:rRNA from 1 species